UACGUAGGCAGCAAGCGUUGUUCGGAAUUACUGGGCGUAAAGGGUGCGUAGGCGGUUGGCCAAGUUUGGUGUGAAAUCUCCCGGCUUAACUGGGUGGGUGCGCCGAAAACUGGCUGGCUAGAGUGUGGGAGAGGGAGGUGGAAUUCCUGGUGUAGCGGUGAAAUGCGUAGAUAUCAGGAGGAACACCUGGGGUGUAGACGGCUUCCUGGACCAUUACUGACGCUGAGGCACGAAAGCGUGGGGAGCAAACAGG
rnacentral:rRNA from 1 species